ensembl:lncRNA
GGCUAGUUUUGUUCUAUAAGCACAUAUAAGCUCCACCUGAAACGCCCUUGGUGAAGCAGUCGUGUCUGCUGCUCUGGCUUUUGUGCCGGCUGGGAGAGACUAGGUCUGGAGUUCCUACGGCUCCUUGAGUUUUCUUCCAGGCUCUUGGCUCACACCUUGCCUACCCCGGGUUCAGUGAAUGGUGAGAUACAGCAAGGCCGGAGGAAGGUCCACCAGUGCUCUGCUGGCCUCUCUACAAAGUACUAAAGCUUGCUUUGCAGAUUGCAAUCAAAGAAUCUCAAAAACAAAGAAUGCCACCAUCAGUACACAGGAAAAAUGGGGAGAAGAAAGAUGCCAUUGCAAAGACCAACAGGGUCCUCUCUCUGAGUGACGAGCCACCCACGCCUCCCCGCACCGCUCUGCUCCUCCCGCGGCUCCCGGAGGGAAGCCGAGGCGCCGCAGAGGGAGCCCGAGGCGACCCUGGAUCGAACCCCAAGCCUACGAGGUUCCAAGACCCCGGUCACCCGGCCUGUGCGCGCCCGCUCGCUUCCCCGGCCCCGCCGCGCGCCGCAGGAGCCGGGCCGGCCGGCGCUGCGUUUCCAGCCGCGUCUGCCCUAGCGCGGCACGUGCUCCCGGCGCGGGCCUGAGAG